rnacentral:lncRNA from 1 species
UCAGAUUGAGAUUGGCCUGCUUAGAUCUCCCCUUUGGGGCUUCACUCAGGUUCCAGAGAAGUGUAUCCCAAUUGACAAUUGCUGACUUGAAUUCCUUUUCCCUGUUCAUGAAUCAUGAUUUCCAUAAAAAGAAAAAGGAAAAAUCAAUUCAUGACACUGACUUGAUAAAUCUGACUAAACUUUACUUGCAAGUUACAGGUCUCCUUUUAC